rnacentral:misc_RNA from 1 species
GGCUGGGCUUAGACGUGGC